UACGGAGUGUGCAAGCGUUAUCCGGAUUCACUGGGUUUAAAGGGUGCGUAGGUGGGCAGGUAAGUCAGUGGUGAAAUCUUUGGGCUUAACCCGAAAACUGCCGUUGAUACUAUCUGUCUUGAAUAUAGUGGAGGUGAGCGGAAUAUGUCAUGUAGCGGUGAAAUGCUUAGAUAUGACAUAGAACAUCGAUUGCGAAGGCAGCUCGCUACACUAUGAUUGACACUGAGGCACGAAAGCGUGGGGAUCAAACAGG
rnacentral:rRNA from 1 species